rnacentral:rRNA from 1 species
GACGAACGCUGGCGGCGUGCUUAACACAUGCAAGUCGAACGGAAAGGCCCUGCUCUUGUGGGGUGCUCGAGUGGCGAACGGGUGAGUAACACGUGAGUAACCUGCCCUUGACUUUGGGAUAACUUUAGGAAACUGGGGCUAAUACCGGAUAGGAGCUCCUGCUGCAUGGUGGGGGUUGGAAAGUUUCGGCGGUUGGGGAUGGACUAGCGGCUUAUCAGCUGGUUGGUGGGGUAGUGGCUUUCCAAGGCUUGGAAGGGUAGCCGGCCUGAGAGGGUGACCGGCCACAGUGGCACUGGGAAGCGAGCCAUACGCCUUCGGGAGGCAUCAGUGAAAGAUAGUGCACAAUGCGCGGAAGCCGGAUGCAACGUCUCCGGGUGCGGGAUGACGGCCUUCGGGGUGGAAACCGCGUGCGCCUGUGACGAAGCGUGAGUGAGGGUAAUGGGUAAAGAAGCACCGGCUAACUACGU